rnacentral:rRNA from 1 species
AUGCCCGACCUCAACUCCGUUAUGUGUGACGGGAUCAUGCCCCUCGUUCUGUCCGAGAUGUUGCUUCAUUUGUUGCUGCGGUUGAAGGUUCUUAGGGUGAACAAUCAUGAGGACCGGACGCUCCUGAAUCGGGUGCAGAAGUUCCUUGGGGUAGUUUGUGCCGCUUAUUUUUCAAUAUGCAGGGUGCUAAUUUCAACUAUCUUGGGCAAACUGACCAUAGCGCAGUCAAUUCUGAUCGUGCUUCAGCAUUUCUUUGGAUGUGUCAUCAUCAUUUAUGUUGAUGAUCUCCUUAAAAAGGGAUAUGGGUUUCUUUCGAGUAUCCCCUUGUUCAGUGCCACCGACAUCUGUGCAAGUAUUUUCUGGAAAGCUUUUAGCCCCGGAGAAGGAGCUGUGACUUCCUCCAUUAUUAAUGGAAACUACAAAUUGUCUUCGAUGCAUAAAGUGUUGGGCAGUCUAGACCUUCCGGAGAUGGCUAGUAUGCUCACCACGUGCGCCUUCUUUCUAUUCGUCCUCAGCCUGCAAGGCUUCCAUGUCAUGUUGCCAGUGAGAUCCAGUGAGGAGGCUAGUAUGCAAAUGAACUAUGCCAUCAAGCUUUCCUACUUCUCCUUUGCACCCCUACUCUUCCAUGAUGCAUUGGCCAUAUUCCUAUACUUCAUCUCAGAGUUGUUACGCGUGAAAUUUGGUGAAAACAACAAGGUGGUCAAUUUGCUGGGCAAGUGGAAGAAAUCACAAUGUUUUGGGCAAGCAGUUCCAGUCAUUGGCUUAGCCUACGACAUGACCACACCACCAACCAGCUUGGCUGACGUAGGAAGACACCCAUUCCACACACUGGUUUGUGCGCUGUGGCAGCUUCUGGGGUGUGGCCUCGUGUCAUUGUCCUUUUUCAGUGUUUGUUCACAUUCAGAGUUGUACGUUGGCAGGUUGCUUGGGGGGCGACGGAAUGCAACAACUGCCCAGCCGGACUCUGUUCCUCUGCUGCUAUGGAGGUGCUAUGUCGGUAAGGCAGCGUUUCUUGUGGGACUCUGCAUUGGUGCACUUAGGCUUCUGGCAGGCCUUGCCGGCGUGGUCGGCUCCGGCACCGGGAUCAUGCUCGCCGUCACUGUCUUGUACUCCUGCUUCGAAGAGACCAGCCUUGGAGGAAGGCCGGCUGGUGCCUUCGGUUUCUGA